GAUGAACGCUGGCGGCGUGCCUAAUACAUGCAAGUCGAGCGAACGGACGAGAAGCUUGCUUCUCUGAUGUUAGCGGCGGACGGGUGAGUAACACGUGGAUAACCUACCUAUAAGACUGGGAUAACUUCGGGAAACCGGAGCUAAUACCGGAUAAUAUUUUGAACCGCAUGGUUCAAAAGUGAAAGACGGUCUUGCUGUCACUUAUAGAUGGAUCCGCGCUGCAUUAGCUAGUUGGUGAGGUAACGGCUUACCAGGGCAACGAUGCAUAGCCGACCUGAGAGGGUGAUCGGCCACACUGGAACUGAGACACGGUCCAGACUCCUACGGGAGGCAGCAGUAGGGAAUCUUCCGCAAUGGGCGAAAGCCUGACGGAGCAACGCCGCGUGAGUGAUGAAGGUCUUCGGAUCGUAAAACUCUGUUAUUAGGGAAGAACAUAUGUGUAAGUAACUGUGCACAUCUUGACGGUACCUAAUCAGAAAGCCACGGCUAACUACGUG
rnacentral:rRNA from 1 species